rfam:Salmo salar isolate Sally breed double haploid chromosome ssa06, whole genome shotgun sequence.
UACUCGCAUUACUGUAAGUCGCUUUGUAUAAAAGCGUCUGCUAAAUGGGAAUAU